CAGCACCUCAAGUGGUCAGGAUGAUUAUUGGGCCUAAAGCAUCCGUAGCCGGCUCUGUAAGUUUUCGGUUAAAUCUGUACGCUCAACGUACAGGCUGCCGGGAAUACUGCAGAGCUAGGAAGUGGGAGAGGUAGACGGUACUCGGUAGGAAGGGGUAAAAUCCUUUGAUCUAUUGAUGACCACCUGUGGCGAAGGCGGUCUACCAGAACACGUCCGACGGUGAGGGAUGAAAGCUGGGGGAGCAAACCGGAUUAGAUACCCGAGUAGUCC
rnacentral:rRNA from 1 species